AGUGGAGUAAUGAAUGCCGAGCAUUUAUGCCACUGAGCCCAUGGUAGCUUCCAUUAACCCUUCCCUCCACCCGCAAUUCGAAACAGGAACCGACAUUCCCCCUCUCCCCCUCUCUCCCUCUACAUCCGACUCCAUGCCUAGCACCGGCGAGCUGUGACUGCCUCCCUCACUCAAGCUCGCAUGGCCAAGCUCGCGCAGUCCUCCUUCGCUCUCGACCUCCUGCGCCGCCUCCUCUGCGCGCACACCGCCGGCAAUGCGGCGGGCGGGGGCAACACCAACACCGUCCAUGCCGACGUCGCUGCUCUACGGCGCGGCGACGGCGCCGCGGCGUCCAAGGAGGAGGAGGGGGCGAUGGCCAGGAGCCCCUGCAUUGUGGCCAGGCUGAUGGGCCUCGACGCGAUAUGCCGACGCCGCCGCGCGACCAGCAGCAGACGCUGCGCCGGAGCCGCUCCGCCAGCUCCGCGGAGGGCUGGUCCUCGCCCACGCCGUGCUGCUUCGGUGACGCGCCGCGGCGCAGGGUGGUCAGGACCACGUCGGCGUCGUUCCGGGACCGGCCCACGUACCUGAGGCGGGAGAACGACGAGUUCCUGCUCCUCAGCUUCAGCCCGGACGACGACGGCGGCGACGACCGCGACGCGGCAGGGUGGCCCAGAAGCGACGACGACGACGCGGAGAUGUGGCCGGGAGCAGGCGCGGCAAGAGGACGGUGGACGGCGACGGGGCCAAGAAACAGAGGCGGAGGCGAAGAAGGCUCCCGCGGCGGCGGCGCGGCGACGAGGACGCGGAGUCAAAGCCUGGCCGGAGCAGGAGGCCGGCCGCGGCGGCGGAGGAAUGCGGCCUGGAGAACUCGAGCCCGGUGUCGGUGCUGGAGGCGCGAGAAGCGCAGGAGGAGUCGUCGACGGCCACCACCGCUUCGUCAUCUUCAGUGGAAGAAUUGGAGCAUGCAGAGCCGUGCUCACCUAGCUCAGAUGGAGGCGAAACCCGGCUGGCGCCGAGGCAGCAGCUGCAGAGAUCAAGGAGGAAGCUACUGCAAGCCAACUCCGACAAUCUCGGUGACGACCCGCGUCCUGCAGCAGCUAGCUCCUCCUCUUGUGUCUCGAAAUGUUCAGACAGGAAUAGGAGGGACAGGAGAGUGGUGAACAACAAGGCAGAGGCGAUCGCCCCGGAUGCGACCGGCAUCUGGCGAAUCAUCUGCAGGAUGGUUGAGCAAGAUAUAUGUGGCAUCAAGUGGCAAGCUAGAGGUGGUGGCGACAUUGCAGCGGCGAUGGGGUCAGAGAUCCUUGAUCAGCUCAUAUGGGAGCAAACAGCUGAGCUGAUGCAGCUAACUGUGGUCUGAAUAACUGUACAUGGCUACCCAACGUGCUGCAAAAAUCUUCAGAAUACUGAACAAGAUGAAGCUGUCGGCCGCUCCGGAUGCGAAAACUCUCUUGUUACAGAAGCUGCUGUUGCUGCUGAUGACGAUGCCAACAGCAUGAAGUGAAUAUCCAAGCAUUACUGUGGAGAUAUAUAUAGAUAUGUUCAGUGAAUCUUGAGGCUGAAGGUCUGAAGAACCUGAACUCUGUUCCUCUCCAAGUCUCCAAACAACCAUGCUAUGAAACUGUACAUGUUUUUCCUCCCUAUGUCAGCCCCAUGUACUAGCCCCUGAAUGAAUAACCUAACAAUAUAUUAGUACGAGUUAGUUGACAUAAUCUCUGUACUAAACCUUGUCCUGUGGUGCCCAA